rnacentral:rRNA from 1 species
CCUGUUUAUCAAAAACAUAGCCUUAGGAAAUCAAUUUAAGGUUUGGCCUGCCCAAUGUGUUAAAUCUAUUAAUGGCCGCGGUACUUUGACCGUGCUAAGGUAGCGCAAUCAAUUGGCUUUUAAUUGGGGCCAGGUAUGAAUGGAGUCACGGAAUUUAACUGUCUUUUAACUAAUUUAUCGAAAUUACUAUAUAGGUGAAAAAGCCUAUAAAAAGAAAAAAGACGAGAAGACCCUUAGAGUUUUGCUUAUAACAAGAUUAAUAUUCUUGUAACAGUUUUGUUGGGGCAACAUAGGAACAAAAAUCAUAAUUUCCUAAAAAUAACUAACCGAUAUUUAUAAAAAUGGAUAAACUACCUUAGGGAUAACAGCAUAAUUUUAUAUAUAAGUUUGUGACCUCGAUGUUGGACUAGGAAACUUAAAGGCUAGCCGCCUUUAAGGAAGGUUCUGUUCGAACUACCAUUCCUACGUGAUCUGAGUUCAGA